CCGAGGCGGUGCCCGAUGCUGUUCCAGAGGCCGAGGCAGUGACCAAUGCUGUUCCGGAGGCCGAGGCCGUGACCGAUGCCGAGGCCGAGGCGGUGCCCGAGGCGGUGCCCGAUGCCGAGGCGGUGCCCGAUGCAGUUCCGGAGGCCGAGGCGGUGCCCGAUGCCGAG